GAUGAACGCUGGCGGCGUGCUUAACACAUGCAAGUCGAACGGUGAAAGAGAGCUUGCUCUCUGGCUCAGUGGCGAACGGGUGAGUAACACGUGAGCAAUCUGCCCCUGACUCUGGGAUAAGCGCUGGAAACGGCGUCUAAUACCGGAUACAAGCUGCGAAGGCAUCUUCAGCAGCUGGAAAGAACUUCGGUCAGGGAUGAGCUCGCGGCCUAUCAGCUAGUUGGUGAGGUAACGGCUCACCAAGGCGUCGACGGGUAGCCGGCCUGGGAGGGUGACCGGCCACACUGGGACUGAGACACGGCCCAGACUCCUACGGGAGGCAGCAGUGGGGAAUAUUGCACAAUGGGCGAAAGCCUGAUGCAGCAACGCCGCGUGAGGGACGACGGCCUUCGGGUUGUAAACCUCUUUUAGCAGGGAAGAAGCGAAAGUGACGGUACCUGCAGAAAAAGCGCCGGCUAACUACGUG
rnacentral:rRNA from 1 species